rnacentral:rRNA from 1 species
UGCAGUCGAACGGCAGCACGGGCUUCGCGGCUGGUGGCGAGGGGCGACGGGUGAAUAAUGUAUCAAAACGUGCCAAUCAGCGGGGGAUAGCUACACAAAAGCGUAGCUCUUACCCCAAACCCCCUACGGGGGAACGGGGGGGAUCGCGGGACCUUGCACUAUUAGAGCGGCCGAUAUCGGAUUAGCUAGUUGGUGGGGUAACGGCUCACCAGGGCGACAAUCCGUCGCUGGUUUGAGAGGACAACCAGCCACACUGGGACUGAGAACGGCCCCAACUCCUACGGGAGGCCGGGAGGGGGAAUUUUGGACUAUGGGGGAAACCCUGAUCCCCCCAUCCCGCGUGUGCGAUGAAGGCCUUCGGGUUUUAAAGCACUUUUGGCCUUAAAGAAACGUCAUGGGCUAAUACCCCGUGAACCUGACGGUACCUGCGUAAUAAGCACCGGCUAACUACGUGCCUUCAGCCCCGGUAAUACGUAGGGUGCAAGGGUGAAUCGGAAUUACUGAGCUUAAGGCGUGCGCACGCGGUUCGGAAAUAGUUAUGUUAAAUCCCAAAGCUUGAACUUUGGAACUGCAUUUUUAACUACCGAGCUGGAGUGUGUCAGAGGGAGGUGGAAUUCCGCGUGUAGCAGUGAAAUGCGUAGAUAUGCGGAGGAACACCGAUGGCUAAGGGAGCCUCCUCGGCAUAACACUGACACUCAUGCACUAAAGCGUGAGGAGCAAACAGGAUUAACAUACCCUGGAUACUCCACGCCCUAAACGAUGUCAACUAUGCUGAUUGGGGACGUUCGGGGUCUUAGUUAGCGCAGCUAACUGCGUGACAGAUCGACCUCCUGGGGAGUACUGUCGCAAGAUGAAAACUCAAAUGAAUUUGACAGGCACUCGACACAAGCGGCUGGAUGAUGUGGAAUAAUUCGAUGUCAACUACGAAAACCUUACUUACCCUUGACAUGUCUGGAAUUCGGAAGAGAUUUGCAAGUGGUAACUAGAGAACCGGAACACAGGUGCUGCAUGCAGGUCGUCUGCUCGUGUCUUGAGAUGUUGGGUUAAGUCCCGCAAACCGCGCACCCUUUGUCAUUAGAUGUUAUGAAAGGGCAUUUUAAGGAGACUGCCGGUGACAAACCGGAGGAAGGGGGGGAGGAGGUCAAUUCUUCAUGGCCUUUAUGGCUAGGGCUUCACACGUCAUCCAAUGGUCGGGACAGAGGGUGGCCACCCCGGGAGGCGGAGCCAAUCCCAGAACCCCGUUUGUAGUCCGGAUCGCGUUCUGCAAUUGGAUCCCGUGAAGUGGGAAUCGCUGGUAAUCCAGGAUCAGCAUGUCGCGGUGAAUACGUUCCCGGGUCCUUGUACACACCGCCCGUCACACCAUGGGAGUGGGUUGUCACCAUGUAAGUCAGUGUAUGCACGUAAC